UGGGGAAUCUUGCACAAUGGGCGAAAGCCUGAUGCAGCGACGCCGCGUGCGGGAUGAAGGCCUUCGGGUUGUAAACCGCUUUCAGCAGGGACGAGGCCGCAAGGUGACGGUACCUGCAGAAGAAGCCCCGGCUAACUACGUGCCAGCAGCCGCGGUAAUACGUAGGGGGCAAGCGUUAUCCGGAUUCAUUGGGCGUAAAGCGCGCGUAGGCGGUUUGUUAGGUCAGGAGUUAAAUCUGGGGGCUCAACCCCUAUCCGCUCCUGAUACCGGCAGGCUUGAGUCUGGUAGGGGAAGGCGGAAUUCCAAGUGUAGCGGUGAAAUGCGCAGAUAUUUGGAAGAACACCGGUGGCGAAGGCGGCCUUCUGGGCCACGACUGACGCCGAGGCGCGAAAGCUAGGGGAGCGAACAGG
rnacentral:rRNA from 1 species